rnacentral:rRNA from 1 species
GACAGAGGGUGCAAACGUUGUUCGGAAUUACUGGGCGUAAAGCGCGUGUAGGCUGCUUGGAAAGUCGGAUGUGAAAGCCCUGGGCUUAACCCAGGAAGUGCAUUCGAAACUUCCAAGCUCGAGUCCUGGAGAGGGUGGCGGAAUUCUCGGUGUAGCGGUGGAAUGCGCAGAUAUCAGGAGGAACACCAAUAGCGAAGGCAGCUCGCUGGGACGUUACUGACACUAAGGCGCGAAAGCGUGGGGAGCGAACAGG